rnacentral:rRNA from 1 species
AUACGUAGGUGACAAGCGUUAUCCGGAUUUACUGGGCGUAAAGGGCGUGUAGGCGGUCUUGCAAGUCAGAAGUGAAAUUCCUGAGCUCAACUCGGGCGCUGCUUCUGAAACUGCAGGACUUGAGUGCUGGAGGGGAUAGCGGAAUUCCUAGUGGAGCGGUAAAAUGCGCAGAUAUUAGGAAGAACACCGGUGGCGAAGGCGGCAAUCUGAACAGAAACUGACGCUGAGGCGCGAAAGCGUGUGGAGCAAACAGGAUUAGAUACCCUGGUAGGCCACGCCGUAAACGAUGAAUACUAGGUGUAUGGGGUAUCGACUCCCUCUGUGCCGCAGUUAACACAAUAAGUAUUCCGCCUGGGGAGUACGGCCGCAAGGUUGAAACUCAAAGGAAUUGACGGGG